rnacentral:piRNA from 1 species
UCCCUACUGAGCAGCAUGUUGUGUCUUGA